GACGGAGGAUGCAAGUGUUAUCCGGAAUCACUGGGCGUAAAGCGUCUGUAGGUGGUUUAAUAAGUCAACUGUUAAAUCUUGAAGCUCAACUUCAAAAUCGCAGUCGAAACUAUUAGACUAGAGUAUAGUAGGGGUAAAGGGAAUUUCCAGUGGAGCGGUGAAAUGCGUAGAGAUUGGAAAGAACACCAAUGGCGAAGGCACUUUACUGGGCUAUUACUAACACUCAGAGACGAAAGCUAGGGGAGCGAAUGGG
rnacentral:rRNA from 1 species